GUGACGGAUCUAGUAUUACCGGUAUUGGUAAUGGAGUUGAAACUGGGCGUCGACUAUCUUCAAAACUCUCUGUAGUACUACUACUAGUAUUAUUAGUAAGAGUGAUAGUUUUGUUUAGUUCAUCAUACCAUCUUUGUAUUCAAAAUGUUGCGAGACAUAGUUGCACUUCUUUACUUCCUUCUUCGUGCUACGUUUGCGUAUUUAAAGGCUUUUUAUCGCUUGUUUGUCAGUCCAUCCAAAGUUCCUGUCCGUGGGCGGGUCAUCGUAAUUACUGGUAGCGGUAGCGGCCUGGGCCGGGAGCUAGCCCUUCGCUUUGCCGCUAAAGGAGCCCGGCUCGCGCUCUGGGAUAUCAGCGUAUCAGGCAACAAGAAAACUGCUGAAUUAAUCCAGUCCGAGACUCCAGAUGCUGAGAUUCAUCUCUACACAGUGGAUGUCACAGAUAUAGAACUUAUCAAAACAUCUGCUUUAAGGGUCAGGAGUGAAAUAGGAGACGUUCACAUGCUAAUCAACAAUGCUGGAGUAUUGGUUGGAGAGUCUUUACUAGAGCUCAGGAAUGAUGACAUCAGACGAACCAUUGAAAUCAACCUUCUAUCUGUGUUCUGGACACUACGCGCAUUCUUGCCAGGGAUGCUGGAGUCCAAUUCUGGCCACAUCGUGACGACCUGCUCAGCGGGUGGUCAGAACGCGAUGCAUCGGCUCACUGAUUACUGCGCCUCUAAGUUUGGCAUCUUUGGUCUCGACGAGGCGUUAGAAUCGGAGCUGAGGGACGUCUAUCACAAGACCGGUAUCAAGCAGACCCUCAUUUGUCCUCACUUCCUGGAUACCGGGAUGAUACAUUCCAUCGCUGCAAGGGGGAUUGCAAUGAAUAAAACAGACGAGGCAGCAGAUUAUAUCUUUGAUGGAAUCCUGAGGCAAAAACGUUAUAUCUACUUCCCAAGAAUAUUCUCAUUAGCACCUACAUUGAAAGAGUUACUUCCCCAUGAAGGCCGGCUUGCACUUCUAGACUUCAUUCAGACUAAGAUUCCUUCACAGAGUGUGAACAGACCCCAUUACGAUUGACUUUCAACAUGGUAAUACCAGGGUGACUUCUUGCACUUCUAGACUUCAUUCAAACUAAAAUUCCUUCAGAGUGUGAACAGACUCCAUGAAGAUUGACUGUUCACAUUAUAUUGCCAGGGUGCUAAAUUAUUUUUCCUUCAAAAUUUUCAUCCUUAUGUAAAAAAGGGGUUUAUUCCAUCAACAUCCUUUAAGGGCAAUCUAAAAUUGCAUUUGUUCACCAGCAGGUACUAGGUUUUCAGACAGACAUUUUCCUCAUUUGUACUAUACACUUUCUUGUACUUCUCUUAGUUCUCUUUAUUCAUAUGUUUGCUCUCUUCUAAGCGCCUUGAGCAUUGAAUCAAAACGGAAAAGAUGCUAUAUAAAUCAUAUGUAUUAUUAUUAUUAUUAUUAUCAAACACUACACAUCAUGAAUAUUCAUGAACACAAAUUGUGAAGCUAUAAAGCAACUCAUCAGCUGAGUCAUUAGGCUUGCAAUGGCAAGGUUUGGGGUUCAUGUCCAAGUAUGGGUAUUUAAUUUGCAGAUUUUCUCUUUUUGUUUUAUUUAGGCCAAACUUUUGAAAAUACAGUUGUGCUCAAAAUUUAGUGAACCCCCCACAAAACCCACUCCUUUAUGCUGAGUGAUGUAAACAACAUCAUUACAGUGUUCUGUGAGCCCAUAGAAUCAAACUGGCAUAAAUAAAACAAAAAGAGAAAAGCUACAAAUCAUAUACCAAUACUUGGAUAUGAAUCCAAACCCUUGCCAUCGUAAGACUCAAUUUAAUAUUUUAUCACCUGAAAUCACAAUCAAUUAUCUAAAACAUGGCAGAACUUGAAGACUCUAAAAUAUGUUCACUCUCGAGUGGGGUUCACUAACUUUUGAGCACCACUGUACAAGUUCAAGAUUCGCAACCUGAAUCAAAACUUUGAGGUUAUCUGUGUUAGGGAAAGAAUAAGGGACAAACAAGUUGUAGGAGAAACAAUCUCACCGCCAGGAUGACUUGUUAGAAUUCUAACAGCAUUGACUUUCCUUUUGAACGAAAUGAUAACCAGUACUACUGAUUACCAUCGUGGUGUGAUAUGAAUGUAUAUUUAUGAAUGUUGCAAGAAACUUGGGAACAGCUGCAAAUCUGUUUUGGGUCUCUAAAUCAAUCAUAAGUCUUACAAUUUGAUGGGCCAUCUAUCAGUUGCAGCGGACAGGCCAAAUUUGUGACUGUGGGGGUCACCAUCGUGUGCAGGCGCAGGCAGCGCACGGUAUUAGUGUACUGUAAUGCGACUGAAGCUUCAGAAAUGAAAACCAUAUAGCAAAAGCAGUGGAAGAAUUCACCGAAAACGGUGUCAUAUAAUAUGCGAUCAAACUUCUCUCCCACCUCCUGGACCAUACAUGUAGGAAACAGCAUGCAAGCCGGCCGAUCUGCAUUGGCCAGUGCUGAAUAAUCGCAUGCACAUGCACUGGCAGCAGAUCUGUACUUUUUCCCAUGAGGCAUUUCAAAUUUCAGCCUGUACGCUGCAACCAAUGGAUGGCGCACUGUAUUGUGAAUCCACCGAAUUAAUUGCAGUUUGAAGAUAAUUGCUUGUAUGCUUCUUGCAAUAAGGAAUGUAACUGAUUUUCUACAGCUAAAACUAAUCUAUCAAUUGCAGAUAAUUUCUUGCCACUUCCCCUUGAAAGUAUCUUUGAAGUUGAUAUAAUUUGCAUUGCUUGUGUUGUGACUUGUAAUGUGUUAUGGUCAGGGGCGGAUCCAGGAUUUUUUUAAAGGGUGGCACAUUUUCCUAAGGAAAAUUUGACAAGCCAUAAUGAUAAAAAAAAGGUCCUCAAUUGGGUAUGAACAACAUAUUCCCAUUAAAAAUAUAAGCUGUAACUUUCAAAGGGGGGGCGCACUUGUGUAAGGACAGCAUAUUUACAUUAAACAUAUUGACUAUGACUAUCAAAGGGGGAGGCACGGGCCGGAUGUGCCCCCGCCCCCGAUCCGCCACUGGUUAUGAUUAUCAUUAAGCUGCCAUGCAUGAUUGUUUUCCAAUUAAAAACUGAGAAAAUGUUAUAUUCUAUUCUACAUGCAUUUGAACACUCAGGUAUUGUAUCUGUAUUUGAUUAAUCUACCAGGGGCCUGUUGCAUAAAACUUUUGCCAUAAAAACUCUGAUAAAUAAACAAAAAACUCUGGCAAAUAGAAUUAUGCCAUUGACACUUAACACAUUUUAAAACUCUGGCAACAGGCCCCAUGUGUUAAGAAUAUUAUAUAGUUUUUACUUGUACAUUCCAUUGAAAAACAUCUAUGUCUAUGACAGCAUACUUUAUCAGGUUAAGAAAAGGAUAUAUAUAUAUUAUUUUUAUUGAUUUUGAAGUUAUUUCAUUUUAGUGAUUAGCAUUAAUACUGCUUAUUAUGAAUGCAUAUCUCUUGUCUUCUCUGCCUUUAUGUAGUUUACAUAUUAUUCCUUAAUGUUUUAUACAUUUUAGUGAGCAAAGUUUGUGGAUGGUCUAAUGCCAUUCCGUCCAACAACAUUUUGUCUAACAACCACUUGGUCCAAUAACCAUUUUGUCCAAUCAUCACUUCGUCUAAUCACCAUUUCGUCUAUGACCAUCUCAUCUCAUAACCAGUUGGUCUAAAAUCUAUUUCAUUUGAAUUCAUAUUGCACAAUUAACACUUAGUCCAAUUAGAUCAAAUGGUAUAUGCUCUAAAUGGCUAUUGGACCAACUGGGUUAUUAGACGAAAUAGUGAGUAGACGAAUCGGCAAUUAGACCAUGUGGAUAGUGGACGAACUGAUGGUUGAUGGGUGUUUCACAAAGAUUUAUAUUCAUUUUUACUUAGAGUCACACUUAAAUGCCUGGCUGGGUGAGUUAUAAAAGUCAUGACCGCAUUGGUCAGAUCAUGCUAAGAGGACGCACACUACAGCGUAUUGAUAAAAAAGAUUGCGUGUUGUAUAUCAUUUACACGGCAUUUAAUUGUGACUCUAAGUGAUACUUGAAUCUUUGUGAAACACCCCCUGGGUUGAGUACAGAAAUAAGUUCAUUUUGUCUUAAUUUACUUGUAGCAAUCUCCCAUGAAUGCUGCCAGUC